rnacentral:rRNA from 1 species
UACGGAGGGUGCAAGCGUUAUCCGGAUUCACUGGGCUUAAAGGGUGCGUAGGCGGGUUUGUAAGUCCGUGGUGAAAUCCCCAAGCUUAACUCGGAAACUGCCAUGGAUACUAUAGAUCUUGAAUACCGUGGAGGAUAGCGGAAUAUGUCAUGUAGCGGUGAAAUGCUUAGAUAUGACAUAGAACACCAAUGGCGAAGGCAGCUGUCUGCCCGAAUAUUGACACUGAGGCACGAAAGCGUGGGGAGCAAACAGG